AUGCCGUUCUUUUUAGGUGCCCAGGCUGGAGUCCUGCUGGUUGAGUCUGGAGGGGAUGUCAAGAGACCUGGGGAGUCCCUCCACCUCUCCUGUCAAGCCUCUGGCUUCACCUUCAGCAGCUACUACAUGACAUGGGUGAGGCAGGCUCCUGGAAAGGGCCUGGAAUGGGUGGGAGACAUAAAUAGAGAUUCAUCUGCCAAACGCUACUCGGAUAAAGUCAAGGGACGGUUCACCAUCUCCAGGGACAAUUCCAACAGCCUCCUCUAUCUGCAAAUGAACAACCUGAAACCAGAGGACACGGCUGUGUAUUACUGUGCAAGAGACACAGUGAGAGGAAGUGACUCCGCAGCCAAGCAAAAACCCACCAAUGCCCACAGACGCUCUCUGAGAUAUUUGUCCCCGUGA